rnacentral:rRNA from 1 species
GUGGGGAAUAUUGGGCAAUGGGCGCAAGCCUGACCCAGCAACGCCGCGUGAGGGAAGAAGGCUUUCGGGUUGUAAACCUCUGUCCUUGGAGACGAAACAAAUGACGGUAGCCAAGGAGGAAGCCCCGGCUAACUACGUGCCAGCAGCCGCGGUAAUACGUAGGGGGCGAGCGUUGUCCGGAAUUACUGGGCGUAAAGGGUGCGUAGGUGGCCUUUUAAGUUGGAUGUGAAAUACCCGGGCUUAACUUGGGGGGUGCAUCCAAAACUGGGAGGCUAGAGUGCAGGAGAGGAAAGCGGAAUUCCUAGUGUAGCGGUGAAAUGCGUAGAUAUUAGGAGGAACACCAGUGGCGAAGGCGGCUUUCUGGACUGUAACUGACACUGAGGCACGAAAGCGUGGGGAGCAAACAGGAUUAGAUACCCGGGUAGUCC